UGUUUGAUCCUGGCUCAGAUUGAACGCUGGCGGCAUGCUUUACACAUGCAAGUCGAACGGUAACAGGCCGCAAGGUGCUGACGAGUGGCGAACGGGUGAGUAAUGCAUCGGAACGUGCCCAGUCGUGGGGGAUAACGCAGCGAAAGCUGCGCUAAUACCGCAUACGAUCUAUGGAUGAAAGCGGGGGACCGUAAGGCCUCGCGCGAUUGGAGCGGCCGAUGUCAGAUUAGGUAGUUGGUGGGGUAAAGGCUCACCAAGCCGACGAUCUGUAGCUGGUCUGAGAGGACGACCAGCCACACUGGGACUGAGACACGGCCCAGACUCCUACGGGAGGCAGCAGUGGGGAAUUUUGGACAAUGGGCGCAAGCCUGAUCCAGCAAUGCCGCGUGCAGGAAGAAGGCCUUCGGGUUGUAAACUGCUUUUGUACGGAACGAAACGGUCCUGGUUAAUACCUGGGGCUAAUGACGGUACCGUAAGAAUAAGCACCGGCUAACUACGUGCCAGCAGCCGCGGUAAUACGUAGGGUGCAAGCGUUAAUCGGAAUUACUGGGCGUAAAGCGUGCGCAGGCGGUUUUGUAAGACAGGCGUGAAAUCCCCGGNCUUAACCUGGGAAUUGCGCUUGUGACUGNNNGGCUGGAGUGCGGCAGAGGNGUAUGGAAUUCCGCGUANANNANUGAAAUGCUUANAUNUGCNNAGNAACACCGAUGGCNAAAGCANUCCCUUNGA
rnacentral:rRNA from 1 species